rnacentral:rRNA from 1 species
UACGUAGGCAGCGAGCGUUGUUCGGAGUUACUGGGCGUAAAGGGUGCGUAGGCGGUUGUUUAAGUUUGGUGUGAAAUCUCCCGGCUCAACUGGGAGGGUGCGCCGAAUACUGAAUGACUAGAGUGCGGGAGAGGAGAGUGGAAUUCCUGGUGUAGCGGUGAAAUGCGUAGAUAUUGGGAAGAACACCGGUGGCGAAGGCGGCGCUCUGGACCGAGACUGACGCUGAGGCGCGAAAGCGUGGGGAGCAAACAGG